rnacentral:rRNA from 1 species
GACGAACGCUGGCGGCGUGCUUAACACAUGCAAGUCGAACGGAAGUUACGAGGAAGCUUGCGAAUUGUAACUUUAGUGGCGGACGGGUGAGUAACGCGUGGAUAACCUGCCUACAUGCCUGGGACAACACCGGGAAACUGGUGCUAAUACCGGAUACGCUCUUGGAUGCACAUGCAUUUGAGAGGAAAGGAGAAAUCCGCAGGUAGAUGGGUCCGCGUCCCAUUAGCUAGUUGGGGGUGUAAAAGACCACCAAGGCGACGAUGGGUAGCCGGCCUGAGAGGGUGGACGGCCACACUGGAACUGAGACACGGUCCAGACUCCUACGGGAGGCAG